CCCGUACAUGGAGCAUUUCAGCGGCCGGAGCCAUAAAUGAGGGCCGCGCCCGCAUCUUAGCACUACUUAUUCUAAAAGGACACAAGGACCUUUGAGCGCAGCCAACAUGCCUGGAACAAAAGGUAACAAGACCGACAAGAAAUCCACCACCAAGCAACCUCAGAGUCCUAAGGAGCAGCCGAAGAAAGGUGAUCAAAAAGCAGAUGACACCAAAAAGCAAGGAGGACAGCCGAAGGGAGAGAAGCAAUAAUUUCCAGGCCUUCGUGAAGCUGGCUCUGGAGACUCUCUUGGGUUCUUGUCGACGCAAGCAUGGGGGCCCCCAGGGUAGGGAGGGCUGACAGUUGCUCCUCCCAUCCAGCCAACAAACAGCAUCCAUCUGACCAUCAUUAGACAGAGCUUGCAAUCUGUCAGCCCCUUCUGUACCUUCUCCCAUGGGUCUCACAUUUGAAUAACCCUGCUGAUGUGCUCAUUGGAUGUUGGGCCAAAAUUCAAAGACUCUAGAGACUCUGUGACCCCACCAUCAUCUGCUUACAUUUGACUCCGCCCAUGUCAUAGUUCUUGACUGUGCUGUACAUAAAUGAACUGAGUUACUAAUAAACAUGAUUUCAUACAUUGACGUAA